rnacentral:rRNA from 1 species
GCUCAGGACGAACGCUGGCGGCGUGCUUAACACAUGCAAGUCGAACGGAAAGGCCCUGCUUUUGUGGGGUGCUCGAGUGGCGAACGGGUGAGUAACACGUGAGUAACCUGCCCUUGACUUUGGGAUAACUUCAGGAAACUGGGGCUAAUACCGGAUAGGAGCUCCUGCUGCAUGGUGGGGGUUGGAAAGUUUCGGCGGUUGGGGAUGGACUCGCGGCUUAUCAGCUUGUUGGUGGGGUAGUGGCUUACCAAGGCUUUGACGGGUAGCCGGCCUGAGAGGGUGACCGGCCACAUUGGGACUGAGAUACGGCCCAGACUCCUACGGGAGGCAGCAGUGGGGAAUAUUGCACAAUGGGCGGAAGCCUAAUGCAGCAACGCCGCGUGCGGGAUGACGGCCUUCGGGUUGUAAACCGCUUUCGCCUGUGACGAAGCGUGAGUGACGGUAAUGGGUAAAGAAGCACCGGCUAACUACGUGCCAGCAGCCGCGGUGAUACGUAGGGUGCGAGCGUUGUCCGGAUUUAUUGGGCGUAAAGGGCUCGUAGGUGGUUGAUCGCGUCGGAAGUGUAAUCUUGGGGCUUAACCCUGAGCGUGCUUUCGAUACGGGUUGACUUGAGGAAGGUAGGGGAGAAUGGAAUUCCUGGUGGAGCGGUGGAAUGCCCAGAUAUCAGGAGGAACACCAGUGGCGAAGGCGGUUCUCUGGGCCUUUCCUGACGCUGAGGAGCGAAAGCGUGGGGAGCGAACAGGCUUAGAUACCCUGGUAGUCCACGCUGUAAACGGUGGGUACUAGGUGUGGGGUCCAUUCCACGGGUUCCGUGCCGUAGCUAACGCUUUAAGUACCCCGCCUGGGGAGUACGGCCGCAAGGCUAAAACUCAAAGGAAUUGACGGGGCCCCGCACAAGCGGCGGAGCAUGCGGAUUAAUUCGAUGCAACGCGUAGAACCUUACCUGGGUUUGACAUGGAUCGGGAGUGCUCAGAGAUGGGUGUGCCUCUUUUGGGGUCGGUUCACAGGUGGUGCAUGGCUGUCGUCAGCUCGUGUCGUGAGAUGUUGGGUUAAGUCCCGCAACGAGCGCAACCCUUGUUCACUGUUGCCAGCACGUUAUGGUGGGGACUCAGUGGAGACCGCCGGGGUCAACUCGGAGGAAGGUGGGGAUGACGUCAAGUCAUCAUGCCCCUCAUGUCCAGGGCUUCACGCAUGCUACAAUGGCUGGUACAGAGAGUGGCGAGCCUGUGAGGGUGAGCGAAUCUCGGAAAGCCGGUCUCAGUUCGGAUUGGGGUCUGCAACUCGACCUCAUGAAGUCGGAGUCGCUAGUAAUCGCAGAUCAGCAACGCUGCGGUGAAUACGUUCCCGGGGCUUGUACACACCGCCCGUCAAGUCAUGAAAGUUGGUAACACCCGAAGCCGGUGGCCUAACCGUUGUGGGGGAGCCGUCGAAGGUGGGACUGGUG